AUACGGGAGAGGCAAGCGUUGUACGGAAUCACUGGGCUUAAAGCGCGUGUAGGCGGCUGGGUAAGUACCUUGUGAAAUUCCUCCUCUCAAUGGGGGAACUGCUUGGUAUACUGCCCGGCUUGAGGUAGGUAGAGGUGCCUGGAACUCUAGGUGGAGCGGUGAAAUGCGUAGAUAUCUAGAGGAACGCCCGUGGCGAAAGCGGGGCACUGGGCCUGUCCUGACGCUGAGACGCGAAAGCGUGGGGAGCAAACGGGAUUAGAUACCCCGGUAGUCCACGCCGUAAACGAUGCGCACUAGGUUUGUACAACUCUGACGUUGUGCGUGCCGAAACAAAAGCGUUAAGUGCGCCGCCUGGGGAGUACGGCCGCAAGGCUAAA
rnacentral:rRNA from 1 species